rnacentral:sRNA from 1 species
GUAGGGCUGUUUUAAUCAAGCUGCCCAAAGUCCCCCAAUCACUCCUGGAAUACAGUAGAGAGAGGCAGCAGCUUGCUAAGCGGACAAGGAUGCUGGGCGUGAGGGACCAAGGCCUGCCCUGCACUCGGGCCUCCUCCAGCCAGUGCUAACCAGGGACUUCUGACCUGCUGGCCAGCCAGGACCUGUGUGGGGAGGCCCUCCUGCUGCCUUGGGGUGACAAUCUCAGCUCCAGGCUACAGGGAGACCGGGAGGAUCACAGAGCCAGCAUGGAUCCUGACAGUGAUCAACCUCUGAACAGCCUCGGUAAGUUCAGGUCCGGCUUUCAUUUGUCCACCUUAGCCUAAGAGUUUCAGCUACCAAGUAGAUCCUAAGCCACUCGCGCCUGGCCCUUACCACCACCACCAAAGUGCUAAGUGCCGUGAGUGACAUCCAGUCACCCGUCCAUCCAUCACUCAGCAAACAUUCCAGGAUUCAUUCUAGAAGUAGGAGGCCUGGACUCUGGGGAAACAGGACCAACAAACCUAAAAUCCCCAAAGCAAUGAUUCUCCAAUUCAUUCAUUCAGUCACUCUUAACCUUUCAGUAAAACUGUACGUACAUGCCAUGUGCCAGGCCCUAGGCUGGAUGCUGGGCUAUAACACUAAUUAAGACAGCUGAAGUCCUUGGUGUCCUGGAGUUCACAUUGGCCAGAGGCAUUUUCAUGAAAAAUGGCAGUGCUUGCCUGAUUUCCAAGGGAAGAAAACUAAGUUAAUAAAUAGAAUGAUCCCAAAUUUAAGGAGGUAUUUUUCUUCCAUUACAUUUUCUUAAACCAUUAAUAUCUACUCCUGAUAGCCUGCUGGAUCAGCAAAAC